AUCUGGAUUGAAGCUCACAUGACGUGACAUCCUGCGUGAAGAUCUUUUCAGCUGUGAACACGGGAUAAAUAGCGGAACUGGAACAAAAUGAGACUGCUUCCAACAAACCAAAACGUCCACGUAGAAAAGGGAAUAGAAACUGCAGCGACAAUAAGAUAAAGAACCUCGUGCAACAAACAGAACUGCAGACCACAAAUGUUUCAGACUGUGGGCAGGGAAGGAAGAUUGAACAGUGAGAGAACACGGCAGGCUGACAGAAAGAUACAGCAAGUGUUCCUUGUUAUUGUGGUUAUUAACCACCGAUGGCUGUUGUUUUUCCAAAGCCUCGAUGCUCAGCUGUACACCAAACUCUGGCCUCAAUAAUCACAUGUUGUUUAAAAGGCACCACAGCGGCCUUCUGCUUGUCAUUAAUUAUCAGAUGGUCUUCAACCACUGCUUGUAAAAACAGUUCCUCAAAAUAGCUACGUUGAGAAUGGGCAAACUUGUCAAAACUGGUGAGGAAAAUUGCUGCAUGUUCCCUUCACACCAAUCUUGCCCAGAGAGCUACAUGGGGAGGUGACGUUGGGUCAGAGAGACUGCUCAUUUUUUUAGGUUCACCUGCCAGCCCGUCCCUCAAAGAAACUCCUCUUCUGCCGUGCAUGUUGUCAUACAAUUCCAUCAGCCAUUUCUACAGUAACCUCCAAGUCAGGCCUUUGAGAAUAACUUAACUGUUAACUGAUAAGAGCUGUUGAAUUACGCCAAUGGCAUUUGGAUGUUCAAUGAUUUUGCCAAUUGACGAGUAUGUUUCUUUAUGAAAGAAACGUAAAAACAUGUGUAUUCCUCAUUGCCAUCUCCAGCUGAUGGUCUUCCCCCUGCAGCUGGGAAGAUGCCAAUUACCAUGUCUGGAUCACAAAUGUUACAUGGUUUCUGUCAAUGUUUCUGGGGUUUAAAACCCAAAUCCAGUCUGACAGACCUUUAAACACUACUGAGUUGUGCAUCUCAAUGCAACUGAAACCACAUUUUCCAGUUCCCAGGACUUUUACAAUGAAAUCUAUAUUAAAAGAAUGUUAUGUUCCAUACAGUCUACACACAGUCAUGUCCAAUGUGGGGAAAGAAUGAAUCAUUUACAAGCAAUGUGUAUUGUGCAAUAAUACAAAAAAUUAAGACAAUUUCAUGCCUAAUCUACUCUAAUCACAUAGUUCAGUAAUGUGCCUACAGACAAGUUGUCAGCACACGUAAGGUACAUUUCUGAAGUGCAGCCUCUGAGCGAUAAAGCGGCAGAUUUUCUUCUUUAAUAAAAAGUACAAAUGACGAGCAAGAACAGAACUUGGGAUGUGAAGCAGAGAGUGGGUGAAUGACCUCUCUACAUGCACACACCCAGCAAAAGCAUGUGGACAAACACCAAACAGAUAAGCAGACAGCUCCUGACAUGCCUGCUCCCAAACAGGACGGAGUUGCUGAAACAAAUAAGCUAUUUAUGUUUAUUAUUCACCGAGGUUCUUCCCCAUUAGGGCAGUAAAACUGGUUUCUUCAAGAACGUAGUUUUCUGUAAACAUUUCCCGUUUAUUUUUCUGGGAGGAAGAAACAAGUAAAAAUUGCAAAUUUUUGCACCAGAAUUCUAACACAAUCAUAUGUGCUGAAGUUCGUGUGUGUGUGUGUGUGUGUGUGCAUGUACCAGGAAUUUUCACAAUAGUAUAGUUAUGAGUCACACAACAUGACAGGGAUAGUAUCUCACUACCUGCAUUUCCAAAGAACACAUCAUUGCAUCGCACAGCAGGAAGCUGCCACAGCAGUCACAAAACAUGCAGACAUCAGUGCAUGGAGCAGUGACCACAGACUAUGGG